CCACAGUGAUGAGCCCUUUAUCCCGAAGCUGAUCAGUUCUGAUGAAACAAUCUUUACGGAUCUGACUACUGAGUU